AAGCCGAACGAGGCUUCCAAUGAAUCAUCGUGAGUCGUGGCCUGCGUGUAGAGAGAAGUGCGAGAGUGGUCCUCACGAUCUCUCCACCUCCGUUGCUCUCUAUUUCUUAUAUUUUGGAUCACCACAUGACCAUUUCCCACUUUCUUCAAUCUCCCCCCCCCCCCCCCCCACCCAAACCCAGGUUUCAACAAUCAACUUCUACAGAGCUUUGUUUUGAGGAAAAACUUCCACUUCCCAAUUUUUAUCUUCUCGGCUUUGUGGGUCUCCAUCAUUCCCAUUUGGGUUUUCGUGAUUUUGGAUUUUUUUUUGGGUGGAGACUGGAGAGAGGGUACGUUGUUGUUAACUGUCUGGUUUUCGUUGACAGGAGAGGUCUUUAUCUUUUGUAAAGUUUUUGUUUGUGUUUGUUCUCACACAGAGAAACAGACUCUUAUCACGGAGCUUUUGGUUUAGCCCUUUGUGGGAUUUGUUUCUCGCAUUGGUUAAUUUUCUGGGUUAGGGUGAGGUGGGGUAUGGGUUUUGCUGGUUUUUGUUAGAACUGUUCAUGAAUUGUUGAUGUCUUUGGCUAUUGGAGCUGCUUCUAGUUCCAAGAACAUGGGUUUUGAUGAAAGAAAAGAUGGUGGGGAGGAGAAUCGUAUCUCAGGAUCUUCAAAAGGCAUACCUCCACCAUCUCCAACUCCGACAGAAGAGGCUCUUCGAGAAGGAGAGAAGUUCAAUAGACAGAUGAGUGAGGCUUCUCUGUAUGGUACUGAGGAAGAGGAUGAUGAAGAAAGUAAAAUAGAGUUGGGUCCUCAGUGCACAUUGAAGGAGCAGAUUGAGAAGGAUCAGGGAGACGAGAGUCUGAGGAGGUGGAAGGAACAACUUCUGGGGAGGGUGGAUUUGGAAUCUGUUGGAGAAACUUUGGAAGCAGACGUUAAGAUCCUGAGCCUUUAUAUCAUCUCCCCUGGAAGACCUGAAAUUGUUCUUACCAUUCCCGAGGAUGGAAAACCCAAGGGCCCAUGGUUUACUUUAAAAGAGGGUAGCCAUUACAGCCUAAAAGUCGCCUUCAAGGUCUGCAAUAACAUUGUCUCUGGCCUAAAAUACACCAAUACAGUUUGGAAAACUGGUCUCAAGGUGGACAGCACAAAAGAGAUGCUUGGAACCUUCAGUCCACAGGCAGAGCCUUACACACAUGAGAUGCCAGAAGAGACCACCCCCUCUGGCAUGUUUGCUAGAGGAUCAUAUUCAGCAAGAACAAAGUUUGUUGAUGAUGACAACAAGUGCUACUUGGAGAUCAACUACACCUUUGACAUCAGGAAAGAAUGGCCUUCCACCUAGUUGAUUUUUAUUCUUCAUUCUGCAACAACAGCUUGGGCUCAUUCAAUUGCAUUCUAACCCCCUCCUCCCUCCCUCUUAUUUUUCCCUACAAAUAGAGAAAUUCAAAGAAGAAAAUGCCAGAAAUACAUUGGUGAAUAUAUCCAUUAAUAAGAGAGAGAACUAUUCCUUGUCUGAGAGGUUUCUCUUUCUUCUCUCCUUAUUCUGAUUAUCGUGAGCUUGUUCACCAUUUGUACAAGACUCCUUAAGAAUGAAAGCAUUGCAGACCCACAUGAAGCUUCGUUGUCUCUGACACCUUCAGAUUUAAAGUAGUGAUUUUCCUGUGAUGAAUUUUAUGUAACUACAAAAGGUUGCAGGGACCUGAGCGCGGAAUGCUUCUUUUGGGCCCCUAAAAGCUAUGAGGUGCCUGAGUGGUACAUGUCUCCGCGCGCAGCUAACCUGACUCAGAACACACAUUUAUGUGGAUUCGAAUUAUCACUUAUCUGUUGACUCUGUUCUGGAAAUCUCUCCUGCCAAAAUACCGAUCUUUUUUCUUUUUUU